rnacentral:rRNA from 1 species
CCUGCCCACUGAAAUUUUUUUUAAGGGCCGCAGUAAUUUGACUGUGCAAAGGUAGCAUAAUCAUUAGUUUUUUAAUUGAAAGCUUGUAUGAAGGGUUGGACGAGGUAAAUUCUGUCUCUAUUUAAUUUUAUGUAGAAUUUAAUUUUUAAGUUAAAAAGCUUAAAUUUUUUUAAAAGACGAGAAGACCCUAUAGAUCUUUAUAUUAUAAAUAUUAAUUUUAAUUAGGAAUAUUUAAUUUUUUAGUAUUUAUAAUAUUUUAUUGGGGUAAUAAAAAGAUUAAAAUAAUUCUUUUUUUAUUUUAACAUUUAUUUAUGAUUAUAUGAUCCAAUUUUAUUGAUUAAAAGAUUAAGUUACCUUAGGGAUAACAGCGUAAUUUUUUUAGAGAGUUCAUAUCGAUAAAAAAGUUUGCGACCUCGAUGUUGGAUUAAAAAUUAUCUUAGGUGCAGAAGUUUAAGAUUUUGGUCUGUUCGACCAUUAAAUUUUU